rnacentral:rRNA from 1 species
UUAGGUAUAAGUAACGAUAAAGGGGGUGAGAAACCCCCUCGCCGAAAGACUAAGGUUUCCUGAUCAACGCUAAUCGGAUCAGGGUUAGUCGGGUCCUAAGGCUCAGCCGAACGGUGAGGCCGAUGGCAGAACAGGUUAAUAUUCCUGUACUACCUAAGGAGUGACGUGGAGACGGAGUCGUGACAACGCCGCGGACUGACGGAAUAGUCCGUUGAAGGGUGUAGAUGUUGAUUGUGGCAGGCAAAUCCACCACGAGAGUCGAACCUGAUAGUAUACCAAUUCCUUCGGGAAACGGUAAUAGUGCGUGUAAACAUACUCCCGAGAAAAUCCGCUAAACUUAAUCCUUGAGGUACCCGUACCGCAAACGGACACACGUAGUCGGGUUGAAUAUACUAAGGCGCUUGAGUGAUUCACGGUUAAGGAACUAGGCAAAUUGACCCUGUAACUUCGGGAUAAAGGGUCCCAACGAGAGUUGGGCGCAGAGAAUAGGUCCAGGCAACUGUUUAACAAAAACACAGGGCUGUGCCAAAUUGAAAGAUCACGUAUACAGCCUGACACCUGCCCGGUGCUGGAAGGUUAAGAGGAGAUGUCAUCGCAAGAGAAGCAUUGAAUUGAAGCCCCAGUAAACGGCGGCCGUAACAAUAACGGUCCUAAGGUAGCGAAAUUCCUUGUCGGGUAAGUUCCGACCUGCACGAAUGGUGUAAUGAUCUGGACACUGUCUCAACCGUGAGCUCAGUGAAAUUGUAGUAUCGGUGAAGAUGCCGAUUACCCGCGAUGGGACGAAAAGACCCCGUGAACCUUUACUAUAGCUUAACAUUGAAUUUGGGUAAUUGAUGUGUAGGAUAGGCCGGAGACUUUGAAGCGCAGACGCCAGUUUGUGUGGAGUCGCUGUUGAAAUACGGCCCUUUGAUUAUUUGAGUUCUAACCCGUUGUAACGGGGACACUGUUUGGUGGGUAGUUUGACUGGGGUGGUCGCCUCCAAAAGUGUAACGGAGGCUUCUAAAGGUGCCCUCAGGACGAUUGGUAACCGUCCGUAGAGUGUAAUGGCAUAAGGGCGCUUGACUGGGAGACAUACAGGUCGAUCAGGUAGGAAACUAGAGCAUAGUGAUCCGGUGUUUCCGCAUGGAAGGGACAUCGCUCAAAGGAUAAAAGGUACUCCGGGGAUAACAGGCUGAUCCCUCCCAAGAGCUCAUAUCGACGGAGGGGUUUGGCACCUCGAUGUCGGCUCGUCACAUCCUGGGGCUGGAGAAGGUCCCAAGGGUUGGGCUGUUCGCCCAUUAAAGUGGCACGCGAGCUGGGUUCAGAACGUCGUGAGACAGUUCGGUCUCUAUCUAUCGUGGGCGUAUGAAAUUUGCGUGGCUCUGACACUAGUACGAGAGGACCGUGUUGGACUGACCUCUGGUUUACCAGUUGUGCCGCCAGGUGCAUUGCUGGGUAUCUAAGUCGGGAUUGGAUAAGUGCUGAAAGCAUCUAAGUACGAAGCCAGCCACAAGAUUAGAUUUCUUAGGGUCGUCAAAGACGAUGACGUUGAUAGGAUGCAGGUGUACAGGUGGUAACAUCAUAGCCGAGCAUUACUAAUUGCCC